GGAAUGCAAUUAAGGCUCAAUCGUGCUUCUGAGGAACCUGUUAAGAGUCACAACACUGGCUGCCAUAAUUGGAGGCACUGAGGAUGGGCAGGAUGUGGGACUUGGCGGAGGAGCCCCUGUUCUCACAACUGCCUCCUGCCUGAGUGCCGAGGAAUCUCUAGGAUAAAACACAGAUCAAGACUGUGGAUCAGCAGCAGCCUCACCCCAGCAGCAACAGAUUCUCCAGUGUCCCCAGUUGCUUCCCCCCGCAUCUCCCGAGUUGCCCCAUCCUGGGCCCAGGCCCAGCCACCAUGACGGACACACCAGUGGAGGAAUCCCUCUUCCAAAUCAUCCACUGCUACCACGAGUAUGCUGCCCGGGAAGGGGAUGUAGAGACACUGUCGCUGGAGGAGCUGAAGGCUCUGCUCAUGGACAAUGUGCCCCGCUUCAUGGAGACCUUGGGCCGGAAGGAGCCAUACUACAUCACACAGUUGUUCCAGGCGGCAGACAAGAACCAGGACAACCAGAUCUGCUUUGAGGAGUUCCUCUACAUCUUGGGCAAACUGGUGAAGGACUACCACCUGCAGUACCACCGGCAGCUGUGUGCCCACUACUGCACCCAGCACAGCCUCUAUUAGAGGGAGUGCAGGGGCCUGCCUAGGGAGCAGGUGUGACCUAGCUGUGGCAGCUGAAGACAUAGCCAUGUGUGUGUGUGUGUGUGUGUGUGUGUGUGUGUGUGUGUGUGGAGUGGAUGCUGUGAAGGAAGAGAAUAAAGCAACUUUGUAAAGACU
rnacentral:lncRNA from 1 species